AUCCUUUUGUAGUUCAUGAGCAUGAUGAGUGGGUGUUCACAUACAUACGUGAGAUGUGCCACCCUCUGAACCUUAUUACAAUAUGGGCACAUUACCUGUCUGACC
ensembl:snoRNA